rnacentral:lncRNA from 1 species
CUCCAGCCAUGCAAGACGUAUCUGCUUCCCUCUCACCUUCCACCAUUUUUGUGUUUCCCAAGGCCUCUUGAGAAGCCAAGCAGAUGCCAGCAUUGUGUUUCCGGUACAGCCUGCGGAACUGUGAACAAAUCAAACAGCUUUUAUUUACAAAUCACCCUGUCUCAGGCUGCUGUGCAAGCUGCUCUGCCUCUUGGGCCAUGUGACCCAGCAGAUCCAAUGGUGCUUGAGGUGUCAGUGGCAGAGAAGAAUGCUGUUUGGAGCCUUUGGCAGCCCCCAUAGGUGAAUCACAGCAAAGGACUUUACAAUUUUGGAGCAAGGCCCUGCCAUCUUUGUCAGAUAACUACUCUCCUUUCGAGAGACAGCUCUUGGACUGUUAAUGGGCUUUGGGGGAAACUGAACAUUUGACUGUGGGUCAUCAAGUCACCAUGUGACCUGAACUGCCUAUCAUGACCUGAGUGCUUUCUGACCCAUCUAGCCACAAAGUGGGUUGUACAAAGAAGCAUUCCAUCAUCAAAUGGAAGUGGUAUAUAUGUGACUGGGUUUGAGCAGGUUCUGAAGUACAUAAGGCACAAGUAAGUUAUACUGAAAUGCCCAUGGUCUCCACUUCUAUCACCCUGCCUUUUCUCCCUCAGCCCACACUGAUGGCCUCAGGGGAAAUCCCCUAUGAUCUGGUGACAGAGGAAGAGAAGACCAGGGCCUGAU